GAGGGUAUAGCUCAGUAGCAGAGUGCAUACCUAGCAUGCAUGAGGUCCUGGGUUCAUGCCCUAGUACUUCCA
rfam:Camelus ferus unplaced genomic scaffold scaffold1131, whole genome shotgun sequence.